rnacentral:rRNA from 1 species
AUUGAACGCUGGCGGCAGGCCUAACACAUGCAAGUCGAGCGGAUGAAGGGAGCUUGCUCCUGGAUUCAGCGGCGGACGGGUGAGUAAUGCCUAGGAAUCUGCCUGGUAGUGGGGGAUAACGUCCGGAAACGGGCGCUAAUACCGCAUACGUCCUGAGGGAGAAAGUGGGGGAUCUUCGGACCUCACGCUAUCAGAUGAGCCUAGGUCGGAUUGGCUAGUUGGUGGGGUAAAGGCCUACCAAGGCGACGAUCCGUAACUGGUCUGAGAGGAUGAUCAGUCACACUGGAACUGAGACACGGUCCAGAGUCCUACGGGAGGCAGCAGUGGGGAAGAUUGGACAAUGGGCGAAAGCCUGAUACAGCCAUGACGCGUGUGUGAAGAAAGUCUUGGGAUUGUAAAGCACUUUAAGGUGGGAGGAAGGGCAGUAAGUUAAUACCUUGCUGUUUUGACGUUACCAACAGAAUAAGCACCGGCUAACUUCGUG